rnacentral:rRNA from 1 species
GGUCAAAUAUAUUAAGGCUUACGACGGAUACCUAGGCAUUCAGAGACGAUGAAGGGCGUGGAUACCGACGAAACGUUUUGGGGAGCUGGAAACAAGCUUUGAUCCGAAAAUUCCCGAAUAGGUCAACCUUUAAAACCGCUUAUUGAAUUCAUAGAUAAGUAGGAGAUAACCUGCCGAACUGAAACAUCUUAGUAAGCAGAGGAAUAGAAAGCAAAAGCGAUUUCCUUAGUAGCGGCGAGCGAAAUGGAAACAGUCUAAACCAGGUUUCAAUUUGAGACUUGGGGUCGUGGGAAGAACACAGAAUCAGAUGAUCUUUGAAAAUGAAGCAGCUGAAUCCUGCACCAUAGAUGGUGAAAGUCCAGUAAUUACAAAAAGAAAUUUUGAAGUUCUAAUCCCGAGUAGCAUGAGGCACGUGAAACCUCGUGUGAAUCAGCGAGGACCACCUCGUAAGACUAAAUACUCCUGAAUGACCGAUAGUGAAACAGUACCGUGAGGGAAAGGUGAAACAGAACCCCUAUAGGGGAGUGAAAUAGAACAUGAAAUCGUAAGCUGACAAUCAGUGGGAGCUUUAGAGUGACCGCGUGCCUGUUGAAGAAUGAGCCGGCGACUUAUAAGCAGUGGCAGGGUUAAGGCAAAUACCGGAGCCAAAGCGAAAGCAAGUCUGAAUAGGGCGUAGUCACUGUUUAUGGACCCGAACCCGAGUGAUCUAACCAUGGCCAGGAUGAAUCUUGGGUAAUACCAAGUGGAAGACCGAACCGACCGAUGUUGAAAAAUCGGCGGAUGAGCUGUGGUUAGCGGUGAAAUACCAGUCGAACUCGGAGCUAGCUGGAUCUCCUCGAAAUGUGUUGCGGCGCAGCGGUUGGUAAUGGGCGAUUUAGGGGUAAAGCACUGUUUCGGGACGGGCUGCGAAAGCGGUACCAACUCGUGGCAAACUAAGAAUACUAAAUUUGCUUUCUACCAACCAGUAAGACAGUGGGGGAUAAGCUUCAUUGUCAAAAGGGAAACAGCCCAGAUCAUCAGCUAAGGCCCCAAAAUGACCGCUAAGUGGCAAAGGAGGUGAGAAUGCAAAGACAAUCAGAAGGUUUGCUUAGAAGCAGCCAUCCUUAAAAGAGUGCGUAAUAGCUCACUGAUAGAGCGUUCUUGCGCCGAAAAUGAACGGGACUAAGCGGUCUGCCGAAGCUAUGGGAUUGAAAAUACAAAGAUUUUGAAUCGGUAGAGGAGCGUUCCGCCCUAGGGUGAAGCUUAGAUGUAAAUCUAGGUGGACGAAGCGGAAGUGAGAAUGUCGGCUUGAGUAACGCAAACAUUGGUGAGAAUCCAAUGCCCCGGAAACCUAAGGGUUCCUUCACAAGGCUCGUCCUUGAAGGGUUAGUCAGGACCUAAGGCGAGGCCGAAAGGCGUAGUCGAUGACAAAUAGGUUAAUAUUCCUAUACUUACUUUUAGUAGAUAACGAGGGACGAAGGCGGCAACGGCUAGUUGACGUAUGGUAUGUCAAUAGAAGUGUUUGAACUGACAAAUAAUUAAAACCAUGGAAUAAAAACCUUGUGUAAUGUUCAGCAUGAUAUGAUCCUAAAGCUGUAUUUUGCACCUUUACGGAUUUAGCCCGAGUCAUACUUCCAAGAAAAGCUUGUAUUAUUGUUAAUAUAAAAGUAACCUGUACCCUAAACCGACACAGGUAGGUAGGUAGAGAAUACUAAGGGGCGCGAGAUAACUCUCUCUAAGGAACUCGGCAAAAUGGCCCCGUAACUUCGGGAGAAGGGGUGCUACUUCUAAUAAAAGUAGUCGCAGUGACCAGGCCCAGGCGACUGUUUAUCAAAAACACAGGUUUCCGCAAAGUCGUAAGACCAUGUAUGGGAGCUGACGCCUGCCCAGUGCCGGAAGGUAAAAGAAGUUGGUUAUUUCAAUAGAAAGAAGCUGACGACUGAAGCCCCGGUGAACGGCGGCUGUAACUCUGACAGUCCUAAGGUAGCGAAAUUCCUUGCCAAGUAAGUUUUGGCCCGCACGAAAGGCGUAACGAUCUGGGCACUGUCUCGGAGAGAGACUCGGUGAAAUAGAAAUGUCUGUGAAGAUGCGGACUACUUGUACCAGGACAGAAAGACCCUAUGAAGCUUGACUGUAGCUUGGAAUUGAAUUCGGGCUCUUUUUUCGCAGGAUAGGUGGGAGGCGUUGAAAUUAAGUUUUCGGACUUAGUGGAGCCAUCAGUGAGAUACCACUAUCAAAGAGCUAGGAUUCUAAUAGGACUCCUUGAAUCAGGAUCCUUGACAGUUUCAGGCGGACAGUUUGUCUGGGGCGGAUGCCUCCUAAAAGGUAACGGAGGCGUGCAAAGGUUCCCUCAGGCUGGACGGAAAUCAGCUGUAGAGUGUAAAGGUAAAAGGGAGCUUGACUGCAAGACCAACAAGUCGAGCAGGGGCGAAAGCCGGCCUUAGUGAUCCGAUGGUACCGAGUGGAAGGGCCAUCGCUCAACGGAUAAAAGUUACUCUAGGGAUAACAGGCUGAUCUCCCCCAAGAGUUCGUAUCGACGGGGAGGUUUGGCACCUCGAUGUCGGCUCAUCGCAACCUGGGGCUGUAGUCGGUCCCAAGGGUUGGGCUGUUCGCCCAUGAAAGCGGUACGUGAGCUGGGUUCAGAACGUCGUGAGACAGUUCGGUCCAUAUCCGGUAUAAGCGUAAGAGCAUUGAGAGGAGCUCGACAUUGUACGAGAGGACCCGAAGGGCGUACCGAUGGUCUACCAGUUCUUGUACCAACAGGAAACGCUGGGUAGCUAUGUACGAAGAGGAUAAUCGCUGAAAGCAUCUAA